rnacentral:rRNA from 1 species
GACGAACGCUGGCGGCGUGCCUAAUACAUGCAAGUAGAACGCACAGUUUAUACCGUAGCUUGCUACACCAUAGACUGUGAGUUGCGAACGGGUGAGUAACGCGUAGGUAACCUGCCUGGUAGCGGGGGAUAACUAUUGGAAACGAUAGCUAAUACCGCAUAAUAUUGAUUAUUGCAUGAUAAUUGAUUGAAAGAUGCUAUUGCAUCACUACCAGAUGGACCUGCGUUGUAUUAGCUAGUAGGUGAGGUAACGGCUCACCUAGGCGACGAUACAUAGCCGACCUGAGAGGGUGAUCGGCCACACUGGGACUGAGACACGGCCCAGACUCCUACGGGAGGCAGCAGUAGGGAAUCUUCGGCAAUGGACGUAAGUCUGACCGAGCAACGCCGCGUGAGUGAAGAAGGUUUUCGGAUCGUAAAGCUCUGUUGUAAGAGAAGAACGGGUGUGAGAGUGGAAAGUUCACACUGUGACGGUAUCUUACCAGAAAGGGACGGCUAACUACGUG